rnacentral:rRNA from 1 species
CGGCGGACGGGUGAGUAACACGUGGGCAACCUGCCUGUAAGACUGGGAUAACUUUCGGGAAACCGGAGCUAAUACCGGAUAAUGCACAACCUCUCAUGAGGCUAUUGCUGAAAGAUGGUUUCGGCUAUCACUUACAGAUGGGCCCGCGGCGCAUUAGCUAGUUGGUGAGGUAACGGCUCACCAAGGCAACGAUGCGUAGCCGACCUGAGAGGGUGAUCGGCCACACUGGGACUGAGACACGGCCCAGACUCCUACGGGAGGCAGCAGUAGGGAAUCUUCCGCAAUGGACGAAAGUCUGACGGAGCAACGCCGCGUGAGUGAUGAAGGUUUUCGGAUCGUAAAACUCUGUUGUCAGGGAAGAACAAGUGCCGGAGUAACUGCCGGCACCUUGACGGUACCUGACCAGAAAGCCACGGCUAACUACGUGCCAGCAGCCGCGGUAAUACGUAGGUGGCAAGCGUUGUCCGGAAUUAUUGGGCGUAAAGCGCGCGCAGGCGGUCUCUUAAGUCUGAUGUGAAAGCCCACGGCUCAACCGUGGAGGGUCAUUGGAAA